AGAUAGAGGUGCGGGCUUCAUCAGUAUUUGAAAAGCAUGGGUUCCGGAGAGACUGCUUUUAGAAAGAAAGGGGAGACCGCCGAAGGGGGAAGGAGAGUUCCGGAUCUUUGUCCCUCUGGGACGCAGUCAGAACAUGCUGCGGACUGUCACUUUUGUGGAGCGCUAUCAG
rnacentral:ncRNA from 1 species